CACCUGGUGCUUCCUCCCAGGAGGGCUCCAGCCCCAGCCAGGUGUGAUCCUGAGGGUGCUGUGGGCUGCUCCAUCCUGGUGUCCAUCCUGGUGUCCAUCCUGGUGUCCAUCCUGGUGUCCAGUGUCCCGGUGUCCGUCCCGGUGUCCGUCCCGGUGUCCAUCCCGGUGUCCAUCCCGGUGUCCAUCCCCGUGUCCAGGGUCCAUCCCUGGGUCCAUCCCUGGGUCCAUUCCGGUGUCCAUCCUGGUGUCCAUCCCAGUGUUCAUCCUGGUGUCCAGGGUCCAUCCCUGUGUCCAUCCCGGUGUCCGGUGUCCAUCCCGGUGUCCGGUGUCCAUCCCCGUGUCCAAGGUCCAUCCCAGUGUCCAUCCAUCCAUCCCACUGUCCAUCCUGGUGUCCAUCCAGGUGUCCAGUGUCCAUUCCAGUGUCGAUCCCAGUGUCCAUCCCUGGGUCCAGUGUCCAUCCUGGUGUCCAUCCCAGUGUCCGGUGCCCAUCCCUGGGUCCAUCCCGGUGUCCAUCCUGAUGUCCAGUGUCCAUCUUGGUGUCCAUCCUGGUGUCCAUCCCUGUGUCCAGUGUCCAUCCCAGUGUCCAUCCCCGUGUCCAGUGUCCAUCCCGGUGUUCAUCCCAGUUUCCAGUGUCCAUCCCCGUGUCCAGUGUCCAUCCCAGUGUCCAUCUCAGUGUCCAGUGUCCAUCCCGGUGGCCAUCCCGGUGGCCAUCCCCGUGUCCAGUGUCCAUCCCAGUGUCCAGUGUCCAUCCCGGUGUCCAUCCCCGUGUCCAGGGUCCAUCCCAGUGUCCAUCCCAGUGUCCAGUGUCCAUCCCAGUGUCCAUCCCGGUGUCCACCCCCGUGUCCAGGGUCCAUCCCAGUGUCCAUCCCCGUGUCCAGUGUCCAUCCCGGUGUCCAUCCCGGUGUCCAUCCCCAUGUCCAGGGUCCAUCCCAGUGUCCAUCUCAGUGUCCAGUGUCCAUCCCAGUGUCCAUCCCAGUUUCCAUCCCAGUACCUGGCCCCGGAGCCUCGCUGAGCAGGAGAGGGAGCACAAGGCAGCGCCUGCGGUACCUGGUGUUCCUGAUAAAUCCCAAAAUGUCUGGGAAUGGGCUGGGAUGGGGUCCUGCUUCCAGUGCCAGUCGCCAGGACAUUUAUUUCAGAGGUUUAAUCAGGUUUUGGGCAUGUUUCCCUGGAAAAGGGGAUGCUGGAGUUCCUGGAAGGCCCAGGAAGGUUUAUUUAUCCUGGGGAUUUUUUCAGCUGAUACGGCAGUGCCCGAGUUUGGGGGAAAAUUGGGAUUGUUCCCCUUUGUGCAGAGCCCUAAAUCCAUGGAUUGUGGUGAGGGUGGAGCAGACAAAGCCCUGCUGGAGGUUCCCAGAGGGCUCUGGAUCAUCUCACAGAGCUUUAAUUACCAAAUCUUCCCAUAUCCCCUUAAUUAGGCACUAA
rnacentral:lncRNA from 1 species